rnacentral:lncRNA from 1 species
AACCUGUCAGACUUGUUGUGAGCUUCAAAACUCCAUUUUCUCUUGCUCAGAUCAACAUACUUUCUUCAUCGAAGUUGUUCCUUAACUUGUGUGAACUACAACAUAUCCAAAAUUGAGAUCCCUCGGAGCUGUAUAACUCAAGAAAUGCAGGUAUGAUGAAUGACUGGUUAUGAUUUUUCUGUCAACCCGUCAUAUUUGUUGUGAGCUUUGAAACUCUAUUU